rnacentral:rRNA from 1 species
AAUGGGGAAACCCAGCAUGAGUUAUGUCAUGUUAUCGAUAUGUGAAUACAUAGCAUAUCAGAAGGCACACCCGGAGAACUGAAACAUCUUAGUACUCGGAGGAAGAGAAAGAAAAUUCGAUUCCCUUAGUAGCGGCGAGCGAAACGGGAAGAGCCCAAACCAACAAGCUUGCUUGUUGGGGUUGUAGGACACUCUAUACGGAGUUACAAAGGACGACAUUAGACGAAUCAUCUGGAAAGAUGAAUCAAAGAAGGUAAUAAUCCUGUAGUCGAAAAUGUUGUCUCUCUUGAGUGGAUCCUGAGUACGACGGAGCACGUGAAAUUCCGUCGGAAUCUGGGAGGACCAUCUCCUAAGGCUAAAUACUCUCUAGUGACCGAUAGUGAACCAGUACCGUGAGGGAAAGGUGAAAAGCACCCCGGAAGGGGAGUGAAACAGAACCUGAAACCGUGUGCUUACAAGUAGUCAGAGCCCGUUAAUGGGUGAUGGCGUGCCUUUUGUAGAAUGAACCGGCGAGUUACGAUUUGAUGCAAGGUUAAGCAGUAAAUGUGGAGCCGUAGCGAAAGCGAGUCUGAAUAGGGCGUUUAGUAUUUGGUCGUAGACCCGAAACCAGGUGAUCUACCCUUGGUCAGGUUGAAGUUCAGGUAACACUGAAUGGAGGACCGAACCGACUUACGUUGAAAAGUGAGCGGAUGAACUGAGGGUAGCGGAGAAAUUCCAAUCGAACCUGGAGAUAGCUGGUUCUCUCCGAAAUAGCUUUAGGGCUAGCCUCAAGUGAUGAUUAUUGGAGGUAGAGCACUGUUUGGACGAGGGGCCCCUCUCGGGUUACCGAAUUCAGACAAACUCCGAAUGCCAAUUAAUUUAACUUGGGAGUCAGAACAUGGGUGAUAAGGUCCGUGUUCGAAAGGGAAACAGCCCAGACCACCAGCUAAGGUCCCAAAAUAUAUGUUAAGUGGAAAAGGAUGUGGCGUUGCCCAGACAACUAGGAUGUUGGCUUAGAAGCAGCCAUCAUUUAAAGAGUGCGUAAUAGCUCACUAGUCGAGUGACACUGCGCCGAAAAUGUACCGGGGCUAAACAUAUUACCGAAGCUGUGGAUUGUCCUUUGGACAAUGGUAGGAGAGCGUUCUAAGGGCGUUGAAGCAUGAUCGUAAGGACAUGUGGAGCGCUUAGAAGUGAGAAUGCCGGUGUGAGUAGCGAAAGACGGGUGAGAAUCCCGUCCACCGAUUGACUAAGGUUUCCAGAGGAAGGCUCGUCCGCUCUGGGUUAGUCGGGUCCUAAGCUGAGGCCGACAGGCGUAGGCGAUGGAUAACAGGUUGAUAUUCCUGUACCACCUAUAAUCGUUUUAAUCGAUGGGGGGGACGCAGUAGGAUAGGCGAAGCGUGCGAUUGGAUUGCACGUCUAAGCAGUAAGGCUGAGUAUUAGGCAAAUCCGGUACUCAUUAAGGCUGAGCUGUGAUGGGGAGAAGACAUUGUGUCUUCGAGUCGUUGAUUUCACACUGCCGAGAAAAGCCUCUAGAUAGAAAAUAGGUGCCCGUACCGCAAACCGACACAGGUAGUCAAGAUGAGAAUUCUAAGGUGAGCGAGCGAACUCUCGUUAAGGAACUCGGCAAAAUGACCCCGUAACUUCGGGAGAAGGGGUGCUCUUUAGGGUUAACGCCCAGAAGAGCCGCAGUGAAUAGGCCCAAGCGACUGUUUAUCAAAAACACAGGUCUCUGCUAAACCGUAAGGUGAUGUAUAGGGGCUGACGCCUGCCCGGUGCUGGAAGGUUAAGAGGAGUGGUUAGCUUCUGCGAAGCUACGAAUCGAAGCCCCAGUAAACGGCGGCCGUAACUAUAACGGUCCUAAGGUAGCGAAAUUCCUUGUCGGGUAAGUUCCGACCCGCACGAAAGGCGUAACGAUUUGGGCACUGUCUCAACGAGAGACUCGGUGAAAUCAUAGUACCUGUGAAGAUGCAGGUUACCCGCGACAGGACGGAAAGACCCCGUGGAGCUUUACUGUAGCCUGAUAUUGAAAUUCGGCACAGCUUGUACAGGAUAGGUAGGAGCCUUUGAAACGUGAGCGCUAGCUUACGUGGAGGCGCUGGUGGGAUACUACCCUAGCUGUGUUGGCUUUCUAACCCGCACCACUUAUCGUGGUGGGAGACAGUGUCAGGCGGGCAGUUUGACUGGGGCGGUCGCCUCCUAAAAGGUAACGGAGGCGCUCAAAGGUUCCCUCAGAAUGGUUGGAAAUCAUUCAUAGAGUGUAAAGGCAUAAGGGAGCUUGACUGCGAGACCUACAAGUCGAGCAGGGUCGAAAGACGGACUUAGUGAUCCGGUGGUUCCGCAUGGAAGGGCCAUCGCUCAACGGAUAAAAGCUACCCCGGGGAUAACAGGCUUAUCUCCCCCAAGAGUUCACAUCGACGGGGAGGUUUGGCACCUCGAUGUCGGCUCAUCGCAUCCUGGGGCUGUAGUCGGUCCCAAGGGUUGGGCUGUUCGCCCAUUAAAGCGGUACGCGAGCUGGGUUCAGAACGUCGUGAGACAGUUCGGUCCCUAUCCGUCGUGGGCGUAGGAAAUUUGAGAGGAGCUGUCCUUAGUACGAGAGGACCGGGAUGGACAUACCUCUGGUGUACCAGUUGUCGUGCCAACGGCAUAGCUGGGUAGCUAUGUGUGGACGGGAUAAGUGCUGAAAGCAUCUAAGCAUGAAGCCCCCCUCAAGAUGAGAUUUCCCAACUUCGGUUAUAAGAUCCCUCAAAGAUGAUGAGGUUAAUAGGUUCGAGGUGGAAGCAUGGUGACAUGUGGAGCUGACGAAUACUAAUCGAUCGAAGACUUAAUCAA